AUUGAACGCUGGCGGAAUGCUUUACACAUGCAAGUCGAACGGCAGCACGGACUUCGGUCUGGUGGCGAGUGGCGAACGGGUGAGUAAUGUAUCGGAACGUGCCCAGUCGUGGGGGAUAACGUAGUGAAAAUUACGCUAAUACCGUAUACGAUCUAUGGAUGAAAGCGGGGGAUCGCAAGACCUCGCGCGAUUGGAGCGGCCGAUAUCAGAUUAGGUAGUUGGUGGGGUAAAGGCCCACCAAGCCAACGAUCUGUAGCUGGUCUGAGAGGACGACCCGCCACACUGGAACUGAGACACGGUCCAGACUCCUACGGGAGGCAGCAGGGGGGAAUUUUGGACAAUGGGCGAAAGCCUGAUCCAGCCAUUCCGCGUGCAGGAUGAAGGCCCUCGGGUUGUAAACUGCUUUUGUACAGAACGAAAAGGUUUCUACUAAUACUAGGAGCUCAUGACGGUACUGUAAGAAUAAGCACCGGCUAACUACGUGCCAGCAGCCGCCGUAA
rnacentral:rRNA from 1 species